UGAAAAAUACAAAAAAUUUAGAGAAACGGCUGAGUUUUCAAAUACUGAAACCCUUUGCAAUUUCGGGUGAAAAACUGGUUCAGAUUCAUGUUUGUUCUAGCAUCUUAAAUCUGCAAAGAAUUUAUGGUUCAUUCAUGGGUCUAAAAUUGGUUUCAAGCCUGGUUUUGAUGUUGGUUUAAGAGCUUGUUUGUUGCUGGUUGUUGAUUUGUUCUCUGCUGCUACUGAGCUUUUCAUUUUCUUAUUUUUGUUGACAUCCAUGUACUUGUUUCUAGAUCCUACUGAAUGUGAAGCUUGAUUCGAAGCAUGAAAUUAAAAUGUGAUGUUGUAAGCACAGUAUCAACAUAUUUGAUUAGACUUAAGCCUUACUUUCUACACUACAUUGUUCUUUCUGUUUAAUUCCUUGUAUUUUCUGCUGAAUGAUAGUGUGCCCACUUAAGGGUUAUAUUAGGUCUUUACUUAGUAUGUAAGUCUACAACUCUUGUAAAGUAUGAUGUAGCUGAAUUUGGGGUUUUUUCAUUUGGACUUUUAUUAUCAUAUAUCUGAUUCUGGAUCGUCUGUAAUAUGGACAUAACUUAGAUGGAUAACGUUUAAAAUUGUAUAGUGAUGUUAGAUCGUAGGUAGAUUCCACUAUGAUUUUAUUUGUUAUAAUUUUGGUUUUCAAGUGAUUUCAAAGUUUACUGUUUGUUUGUAAAUAAUAUAGGCAAAAGUAUGAAGCCUUUGAUGUUAGGUAUUCUACUAAAAAGCAUCAGUUUCGAACCUUAAUAUAUUUUUGGGUUCUAUUUAGUUUUGAUGAAAUCAGUCAGCACUCUUUUACUCUUUAAAGACCUGGAGUUGGAUAGGUUUUAGUAGAUGCAUUCUUUUAAAAUCAUGUUAGCUUGUUUUGGUUAAAAAUCAAAUUUCUGCCAUGUUAAAAGACAAAAUAUUUGGUGUUUGAGCUAUAUAAUAUUAAGGUUGACAUUUCAUUAUGGAAUGUGAUUUGAGCUUAAGAAUAUUGUUGUGCAUCUAUGCAGAGUUGGAAAGAAUUGCUAGCAUUUGUUUUCUAACUCAAAGAUUUGCAUGAAUAAUGCAAUUUGCCUCAAGUAUUAGUGUUAAAUCACAAAGCUGGACUGCCUUCUUUGGCCCAGUUGUGCCAAAUUUCCUCCUCAGCAAUUGGAUUCUCUAUCUGGGCUUCAUGUCGAGCUCAGUUUUGUUCUCGUGCCUAUCUUGGAUUUGGCAAUUGGCAAUUGGGCCUACAGCCUGUUGGAAACACGUUCUCAAUGCAAUAUACUAAAACGUGUGUUCUUUUGUAUAGGUUUU
rnacentral:lncRNA from 1 species